UACACAAAAAGUUCAUAGUAAAUUAUUACAAUAGUUAUUACUUUCUAAAAGGAAUCAUAUCAUUAAAGAGAGAGAGAGAGAACUGGCACUUAGUAAAUGCCAAACUCGGAAGUGAUUCAAGUGAACAGUGUGAAUUGUUGAUUAAGAAUGGCUGAGCAAAGAAAGCAAGAAGAAGAAGUGGAGGAGGUUGAGGUUGAGGUCAUUCAUGCAUGGUCUCCUCCAAGAUCUCUCAGUACCAGCCUUAUGUACUCUUUCAACCAGAGAGAUGAUACAGAAGUGCUUGAUGAACCCCUGUAUGCAAAUUUUAUUCGGGUCACAGGCUAUGAUAGGCCCUACAGAGAGGAACUACUAUCAACAAUGGAAUCUGAUGGAAAUAAAGUUAUAGAUGAUAUCCUUUUUAGUCCUGGAAAAAAGAAGUACAGGUACUGUAAGCAAAUAGCAAAGCAUUUGGUGUCUGGUUUAUCAAGUGAUUUAAUAAAGAAAGGAAAGCACUUCAUACUGAUACGCAAUCCACUUGAUAUUUUGCCAUCCUUUGACAAGGUUGUGCCACCAUCAUUUAACGAGUUAGGUUUUGGAAGCCUGAUCAGUAUAUACGGUGAGCUUUCAGCGUUGGGAAGGCCUCCACCAAUCAUUGAUGCAGCUGAGCUUGAAGCGAAUCCUGAGGUUACAUUACGUGGUCUUUGUGAAGAAUUGGAUAUUCCUUUUCAAGCCUCAAUGCUUAAAUGGGAAGCUGGCCCAAAACCAGUAGAUGGCAUUUGGGCUCCGUGGUGGUACAAAAGUGUACAUAAAUCAACUGGAUUUGAACGAGUUAGGAAGUAUCCUGUGCCUUUUCCCCUGUCUCUGUAUGAUGUAUUGGAGCAAACUCUACCUCUGUACAAUUGGCUUCGGCGUCAUUCGAAGCACACAUCACAUUUGCUAAAGUCCCCCUUGCCUCCUCCUGAUCUUCCUAAUCCUGAAAAUGCAAAGCUAUUUGCAUGGGUUGGUGAUGAGAUUCUACCACGAGAAAGUGCGAAGGUUUCUGUGUUCGACUCUGUUGUCCAAGGAGGUGAUUCAGCUUGGGAGGGACUCCGAGUUUACGAUGGAAAGAUAUUUAAGCUUGAAGAGCAUUUAGAUAGGUUGUUUGACUCGGCAAAGGCUUUAGCUUUCGAGAAUGUGCCUAGUCGUGAAGAGGUCAAAGAAGCCAUCUUCAGAACUCUUAUUCGGAAUGGUAUGUUUGAUAAUACACACAUCAGGCUAAGUCUAACGCGUGGCAAGAAGGUUACUUCUGGCAUGAGUCCAGCAUUCAAUCUCUAUGGUUGCAACCUUAUAGUACUUCCUGAAUGGAAACCCCCUGUCUAUGAUAAUACACAUGGUAUAACUCUGGUCACAGCUUCUACUCGUCGUAAUUCACCAAAUAAUUUGGACUCAAAGAUUCAUCACAACAACCUUCUUAAUAAUAUUCUAGCAAAGAUAGAAGGAAAUAAUGGAAAUGCUGGUGAUGCAAUCAUGCUUGAUUAUGAAGGUUUCGUGUCUGAAACAAAUGCUACAAAUAUUUUUUUAGUGAAGAAAGCCCGUGUUUCGACACCUCAUGCUGAUUACUGUCUUCCUGGCAUUACCCGUGCUACUGUUAUGGACCUUGUAGUGAAGGAAAAGUUUGUGUUAGAGGAGCGCAGAAUCAGUCUUUCAGAGUUCCAUACUGCAGAUGAGGUAUGGACUACAGGGACUAUGGGGGAACUCACACCGGUUGUGAAGAUUGAUGGGCGUGUAAUUGGAGAUGGGAAAGUGGGGCCUGUGACCCAACAUCUGCAAGAAGCUUACAAAAAGCUGACAGAAGAUUCAGGAGUACCCAUCCCAACAUACCAAAAGACUUAAUAGUCACUGCUUCUAAAAGGUGUGAUUUCUACACUGGCGUGAACCAUAUCAGUUCGUCAGUUACUGAGAAAUGUUUCCCUAUUCCAUUAUCUCCUCAGUUGUGAGAUUCAUAACUGCAGGUUUUUCUGCUAUCUUAGGUCUUUUGGGCCAGUGGUGGAGAUGUGAAUCCAAUGAUUCAUAGCCUGGAGUUAGAAUCUACCACUACGGAGAACGCCUACAGAGACCUGCAAGUGUAGUGAUAUUCAUUGCCAUCAUACAUGAAGCUUCAUUGUGUAAUCUUUUAUCAUUUGUGUUUGUUUCAGAUUAUUGUUUUGCACUAAAUAAAGACUGUUCUUUGAGCUUUAAGCCAAUCCAAGCUAAUUGAUCUAUGUCAUUUACACUGUAACGUGUGGGAAAUGCUAGCAAUGAUAAAUAAAUCCUUUUUUUUUUUUUUU